AGCUUCCGUAGCGUAUAUUAAAGUUGUUGCAGUUAAAAAGCUCGUAGUCGCAUUUCUGGCGAGAGGAUCCGGUCCGACCUUUUGGUGGGUUCUUGGGUCUCUUUCGCCAUCCUUGAGUGGUCCGUUCUGGCAUUAGGUUGUCGGAGCGUCAGCCGCUCAUCGUUUACUGUGAGAAAAUUAGAGUGUUCAAAGCAGGCUUAUGCCGUUGAAUAUAUUAGCAUGGAAUAAUAAGAUAGGACCUCGGUACUAUUUUGGUGGUUUGCGCACCAAGGUAAUGAUGAACAGGGACAGUUGGGGGUAUUUGUAUUUCGUUGUCAGAGGUGAAAUUCUUAGAUUUACGAAAGACAAACUACUGCGAAAGCAUUUACCAAGGAUGUUUUCA
rnacentral:rRNA from 1 species